AGAAUCACUUGAACCCAGAAGGCAGAGGUUGCAGAGAGCCGAAAUCACGCCAUUGCACUCCAGCCUGGGCCACAAGAACGAGACUCUGCCUCAAAAAUAAGGGCAGUUUGGACAUAGACACACACAUACACAGGGGAAACUCCAUGUGAAGCGACACAUGGAGAAGAUGGCCAUCCCCAGCCAAGGAGAAAGGCCUGGAGCAGCCUCAGAAGGAACCCAUCCUGCUGACACCUAGAUCUUGGACUUCUAGCCACCAGAACUGUGAGACAAUCAAUUUCUGUUGUUUAAGCCACUCAGCAUGUGGUACUUUGUCAUAGUGGCCCCAGGAAACGAAUACAUUUGGUGAUUGAGGAAACAUUCACUGAGUGCCAGUGUACUGGGCCCAGCAAGAGGAAUCAGACACGUGGCCCAGAGUGCUAUCUGGCAGGGGAGACAGGACAGGGAGCAGAGCAGUCACUGCCAGGGGCAGAACAAGUCAUCAAGGUCAUCCAGCGAGAAAUCCAGGGAAGGAAGCCUCCUGCCUGCCAGGCUGUCUGGGGCUAAUGCGUUUGCUCUGGUUCUUGAACACUGGGAUGGAUUUUGCUGGUGCAGGUAGGGAAAGAGACAGAGGAGGUAGCAUGAACAAAGUCAAAGUGCGACAAGGUGCAGAUGGCCAGCUAAGGCAUGUGGGGACCAUGUGAAAAGAAGGCUGGAAGGUGGAUUGAGAGCAGGUUGGUGGGGGAACGAUGCCAGGAGUGCUCUGCAGGCCCUGGGAAGUCACAGAAAGUUCCUGAGCUAGGAGCUGCUGAGAGCACCAGCUGUGUGGUCACUUGAGCAGUGGUGGAGAACAAGCUGGGGGUGGCGGGCCGGCACUGAGGGCUCUCAGGUGGUCAGUAAUGCAGACCCAGGAGAAGCUGUCAGUGGGAACUUGGAUUUCCUCAGCCUCAUUUCUUUUGUCUUCCACUUGCUGAAAACACCUGCAUUGUGAAGAGCUCUAGGUUUCAGAAAUUCCCAUCCACUGAGACAAGCUUUGCCUAAAUGGAGUGGUCCUAGCAGUCCUGUUAGCUGCCUCACCCCCAGCCUUUCCCAAGAGUAGCAUUAAGCAGGCAGUUCAGUGGCUGGUCAGGACUGAGCUUGGCAGGAUGGUUGUAGGUAGGAUCUGGACAGGUAGCUGUCGGGGGAACUAGGUGGCUACAGAAGCAGGAAACAAUGGCCCCAUGUUCCAGCAGGAAGGGAGCCUAAGGGCAGAUCGGGCCCUGACCAAGUCACUGGAAUGGACAAAGCCAGGGCUGGAUGGGAAUUCCCAUUCUUGGGGCUGGCAGGUCCCUUCACCCACUGUCAGACUCCCCAGCGCCAGGUCACUCACUCUGCGCAGAUGCUGGCUUCUGACCCACACAUUGCUACUGUGACUCCCAGGUGCAGCUGAUCUAGCACCAGCUAUGCAGAACCACUUCCAGGGAUUUCUUGUGUGCUCAGGCCCUGGCUGGAUGCACGCUAGUGCAGUCUAUCACCGACAGAGGCCCAUGGCAUAGGCUGUCCCCAGCUCUUCUUAAGUUACUCCUCAUGGGUAUCCUGCCCUGUCAUGCUUAUCGACUCAGAGAGUGGGCAGGGCUCUCACAAUUUAUAAAUGAGAAAACUGAGCUCCAAGAAGCAAAGGGUCUUUUGCAAGUUCUCUAAGAUGGUAUAUGACAGGGCUGCCUCCCACAGUGUGAAAUUAUCAUAAGAGUUGUAGUUGUAAGUAUUUUUUUUUUUUUUUUUGAGAUGGAAUUAACUUUUGCUGCCCAGGCUGGAGUGCAGUGAUGUAAUCUUGGCUCACUGCAACCUCUGUCUCCUGGGUUCAAGUGAUUCUUCUGCCUCAGCCCCCCAAGUAGCUGGGAUUACAGGCACCCACCACCAUGCCUGGCUAAUUUUUUGUAUUUUUAGUAGACACGGGGUUUUACCCUGUUGGCCAGGCUGGUUUCGAACUCCUGAUCUCAGGUGAUCCACCCACCUCAGCCUCCCAAAGUGCUGGGAUCACAGGCGUGAGACACCAUGCCCAGCCAGUUGUAUUUACAGUGCUCGCUGUUUGCCUGUGUCCCUAAGCAUUUUAUGGUUCCAACUCUGACAACUAGUUCUGUUCACGCCCUGUCCUGAACCUUUGGAACCAAUGAGUCUUGUUAGCUAGUGUCUACUUUGCUCCCUGCUUUGGACUAAGGGAGAAAUAAGUCCACUGACUUUCUCAUCAGAACUGAGCCAGGAGCAAGGGCCCUAGGGAGGGAUAUAUGGCAACAUACAGCAGCUUUGGGUUUGGGCAGAGCUGGGUUUGGAUCCCAGCCUGGUCAUCAUUACUAGCUACAUGACAUUGGAUAGGGCACUUCACCUCUAAAUCCUUCAGUUUCCACAUCCAUAAAAGGGGAUUAUAGGUUAUUUUUCAGGGAAGUUGAAGACUAAAUUCCUCUCAGUAAAUGGCCAUCAAUGGCAGAUGUAUGUACUAACCUGCAUCUGUAAUGCUACUAGAUGACUGACUAGUCUGGCCAACUUAUGUAUAUACCUGUGGCAAUUUCUGGAAGACACCUCCUUCACUGAAAGUGCAGCACUCAUCUGGCCCCAUGCUACUGGUCUAUCCUUUUCAAUUCCAUCAGCCUAAACAUAGCUCUGACAUUUUCUACUAGCCCAAACCCUUACCUACUCCUUCAGAGGGUAACUGGGAGUAACGGCAUGAAAUACAAUUAGUAUUCCUAUUGCUGGUUAGGCUCACGGUGAACCACAUGCAGAUUUGUACAGCUGAAACAACCUGCAGGCUCACUUAGCUUGGGCCUCGGAGUUUCAGUUGAGGAACUGGAGGCUCAGAGGGGAAGUGACAGAGGGGAGCAAAUACCAUUCAGUGGCCAGGUUGGGGCUAGAAUAUGAUCUCUAGAUUCUGUUUGAGGCCUCCCUCCCCAUACCUCCACUCUUCCUCUGCCAGGGCUGGCGCUGGGGAGUGCUGUCUUAAACACAGAGACCCCAGGCCCCUCCUGGCCAGGGGUCAAGUCCCCUUAAUCAGAAAUAGAGUUAACUCUGGCCAGGUGCAGUGGCUCAUGCCUGUAAUCCCAGCACUUUGGGAGUUCAAGUCAGGAGGAUCACUUGAGCCCAGGGGUUUGAAACCAGCCUGUGCAACAUAGUGAGACCUCAUCGCUACCAAAAAUAUUUAGCCAGGCAUGGUGGCACGCACCUAUAGUCCCAGUUACUCAGCUGAGGUGGGAGGAUUGUUUGUGCCCAGGUCGAGCAUGCAGUGAACCAUGAUUGUGCCAGUGUAUUCCAGCUUGGGUGACAGAGUCAGACCGUCUCCAACAACAAAAAGCAAUAGAAUAAGGGUAUUUUCUCCAUAUGCCCUCCCAACACCCCUGGGACAAGUUAUAAAAUACCCACUUGAUCAGAGAUUAUUAAGCUGACCUAAUUGGCUCUGAGGACUUCCACACUCACUGCAAUCUUGGUGAUUUUCCUGCAGAGCAACUGUUUGGCUGGCUGCAGCUUAAGUCUACUAGUAACUUGAUUCCCUUUCCAAACUGUCAACACGGCGGUAUCAUCAGGCUCAUUAAAAUUGAUGGCAGCACAAUGCAACAGAGCUGGAGAAAACUGGAAGGUCAUAGCAUAGUGUACAACCACUUUGUGCUUCUGUCUCACCUUUCUCUGGCGAUGGGGUAGGUAGUGUAGCCCAGAUAGGAAUGCCAGGAACAGGACGACUCAACUCUCCUGUAUCUGUCCUGGAGUAUGUACCAGGAGUCCUGGUGGUGGUGAUACAGGAGCGGGUAGGGUGCAGUAUCUUACACAAGGUGGUUUGUGCAUUUCCACGCUGGCCACUAUCAUUCUUCAGGUGCUGGACUCCUGAAAGAGGAGUGAACUAAAGGUAAGAGCAGAGGUUGAAAACAGGGCGCCAUGGACCGGGCACAGUGGCUCACACCUGUAAUUCUGGCACUUUGGGAGGCCAAGGUGGGUGGAUCACCUGAGGUCAGGAGAGUUCAAGACCAGCCUGACCAGUAUGUUGAAACCUCGUCUCUACUAAAAAUACAAAAAUUAGCCAGGCGUGGUGGCGGGCGCCUGUAGUCCCAGCUACUCG
rnacentral:lncRNA from 10 species